rnacentral:rRNA from 1 species
UACAGAGGUGGCAAGCGUUGUUCGGAAUUACUGGGCGUAAAGGGCGCGUAGGCGGUCCUGUAAGUCCCGUGUGAAAUCCCCCGGCUCAACUGGGGAAUGGCACGGGAGACUGCGGGGCUUGAGUUCGGGAGAGGGAAGCGGAAUUCCGGGUGUAGCGGUGAAAUGCGUAGAGAUCCGGAGGAACACCGGUGGCGAAGGCGGCUUCCUGGACCGACUCUGACGGUAAGGCGCGAAAGAUAGGGGAGCAAACGGG